rnacentral:rRNA from 1 species
AGUGAACGCUGGCGGUAGGCCUAACACAUGCAAGUCGAACGGCAGCACAGUAAGAGCUUGCUCUUACGGGUGGCGAGUGGCGGACGGGUGAGGAAUACAUCGGAAUCUACUUUUUCGUGGGGGAUAACGUAGGGAAACUUACGCUAAUACCGCAUACGACCUACGGGUGAAAGCAGGGGAUCUUCGGACCUUGCGCGAUUGAAUGAGCCGAUGUCGGAUUAGCUAGUUGGCGGGGUAAAGGCCCACCAAGGCGACGAUCCGUAGCUGGUCUGAGAGGAUGAGCAGCCACACUGGAACUGAGACACGGUACAGACUCAUACGGGAGGCAGCAGUGGGGAAUAUUGGACAAUGGGCGCAAGCCUGAUCAAGCCAUACCGCGUGGGUGAAGAAGGCCUUCGGGUUGUAAAGCUCUUUUGUUGGGAAAGAAAAGAAGAAGGUUAAUAACCCGCUGUUCUGACGGUACCCAAAGAAUAAGCACCGGAUAACUUCGUG